rnacentral:lncRNA from 1 species
GUUAAAUAAAUAUGCUUUUUCAGCAACUGUCUGUCCUGGAAAUGAAGUCCAUACAAGACAAGUAUCUCAGAGUAUAUAAGAAAAGUGAAUCAGGAACUGAUGGGAUAAUAGAGGAUCACAACAUGGAUUGUGAGCAGUUAUUUGAAUUUUCUGAAUCCUUAUUUAAAGCCAAAAAGGACUACAGGAAAUUUCAGCGAAUUUAUUUCGACUAUACAAAAUUCACAAGCAUCCCAGUCAGAUCUAUCAAUGCAUGAAGACAUAGAUGUACAGUCAGACACAGUGCAGGAUAUGACACAAUAUCUGCUUGUGGAGAAUUCUCCUGAAUGCAGUCUUCCUGCUGAAAGUCAAACUGUGGCAACUACACCACAGAAUUCUAAUUCUGACAUCUCAACAGGUUGAUGGUCAAUUUAUGUUUAGGUUUAAUUGCCAUAUUUUAAUUUUAAAACAAAAUAUUGCAGUAAGAAAAUUUUUGUGCUUUCAUAUUCCAUCAUGAUUCCAAGGAAAAGGAAAAGUGUGCAGCAAAACACAAUGGAAAAGGUUCUGGAAGCCCUAAAAGCACCAAUUGUCCUACCUACAGUCUCAGCAAACAAAGAGAUGGAUGCAGAUAACUAUUUCUUCUAAGUCUCCUACCUGAAUUUAAAAGAAUUCCAUCAAGAGAAAAAACAAAUACCAAAAUUAAAAUGCUUCAAUUAAUUCAUGAUGCACAGGAAC